ACUCUCUUAUUAUAACUAAUAUAACUGACUUCCAAUCAGUAGAUUCUGUAACCAACGGAAGAGAGUA
rnacentral:tRNA from 1 species